GAUGAAGAACGUAGCGAAAUGCGAUAAGUAAUGUGAAUUGCAGAAUUCAGUGAAUCAUCGAAUCUUUGAACGCACAUUGCGCCCAUUAGUAUUCUAGUGGGCAUGCCUGUUCGUGCGUCAUUUCAACCCUUAAGCCUAGCUUAGUAUUGGGAAUCGACUUUACUGUCGUUCCUCAAAUUCAACGGCGGAUUUAUAGCAAUCUCUGAACGUAGUAAUUUUUUUCCUCGUUUUUGAAAUACUAUAAACCUCAGCCGCUAAACCCCCAAUUUUUCUAUGGUUGACCUCGGAUCAGGUAGGAAUACCCGCUGAACUUAAGCAUAUCAAUAAGCGGAGGA
rnacentral:misc_RNA from 1 species